UAUACAAAUGACCAAUGAGCACAUAAAAAGAGACUCAACAUCAUUAAUCAUUAGAGAAAUGCAAAUCAAAACCACAGUGAGAUACCACCUCACAUCUACUAAGAUGGCUAUAAUAAAAAAGAGAGACAGAAACAGA